AUGGGUGGAUCGCCAUCUUCUUCUUCUGUUGUUAUCCUUCCUCUUUGUUUGACUUUCUUCUUGGCCAUUUUCUUGGAAAGAUCAGUGGGUGUUGUUUCAGGUUUGGAAUACUCUAAGGACAAGCAACCAAGUGGCUUGACACUUGAAAGGAUUCAAAAGCACUCGAACAAGAUCAAUAAGCCUACUGUCAUGACCAUUGAGAGCCCAGAUGGAGAUAUAAUAGAUUGCAUUGAUAAAUGGAAACAACCUGCUUUUGAUCAUCCUCUUCUCAAGAAUCAUAAGCUUCAGGGCACAGUGCCCAUCAGGAGGACCACAGUGCCCAUCAGGAGGACCACAGUGGAUAAUGUGUUGAGGGCCCAAUCACUCCAUGAUUUUGGGAAGAAACAACCAAGAAUGGCUCUUGCUAGGCACACCAUUGCUCCUGAUGAUAUCCGUAACAAUGACCAUGAGUAUGCGUACGUGAGCUCGCAAUCACCGGAAGGGGUGUACGGAGCAUAUGCAGAAAUAAGCUUGUGGAACCCAUCCGUACAAGAUGGUGAGAUGAGCAUCUCCCAUAUUUGGGUUGUUGCUGGAUCAUUCAGUGGCUCAGAUCUCAACACCAUGGACGCUGGAUGGCAGGUGGACACAAAUAUAGUUGUGGGCUCAGCCAUUGCUCCGGUCUUCACCAUCGCUGGCACGCUAUACGAAACUAAUAUUUUCAUAUGGAAGGAUCCAAAGACAGAAAAUUGGUGGCUGGGGUAUGGGAACAACACUGCAGUGGGAUACUAGCCAUCAAACCUGUUCACACACUUAGCAGCGAAGGCGACGCAGGUGGAGUGGGGUGGGGAGGUGGUGAAUACCAAGCCUAACGGCGCCCACACUUCCACCCAAAUGGGCUCCGGACGCUUCGCUGAAGAGGGCUAUGGGAACAACAGCUAUUUCCAAAAUGUGGGACUUGUCGAUAUAAAUAACAACAUCAACUCACCCCAAGACAUAUCGGCCUUUGCCGAUGAUAGCAAUUGCUAUAGCAUAAAUCUUCUCAACAAUAAUGAUUGGGGCACUCACUUCUACUAUGGGGGACCUGGAUUUAAUCCCAACUGCACUUAG